AUUGAACGCUGGCGGCAGGCUUAACACAUGCAAGUCGAGCGGAGAUGAGGUGCUUGCACCUUAUCUUAGCGGCGGACGGGUGAGUAAUGCUUAGGAAUCUGCCUAUUAGUGGGGGACAACAUUCCGAAAGGAAUGCUAAUACCGCAUACGUCCUACGGGAGAAAGCAGGGGAUCUUCGGACCUUGCGCUAAUAGAUGAGCCUAAGUUGGAUUAGCUAGUUGGUGGGGUAAAGGCCUACCAAGGCGACGAUCUGUAGCGGGUCUGAGAGGAUGAUCCGCCACACUGGGACUGAGACACGGCCCAGACUCCUACGGGAGGCAGCAGUGGGGAAUAUUGGACAAUGGGGGGAACCCUGAUCCAGCCAUGCCGCGUGUGUGAAGAAGCCCUUAUGGUUGUAAAGCACUUUAAGCGAGGAGGAGGCUACUGAGACUAAUACUCUUGGAUAGUGGACGUUACUCGCAGAAUAAGCACCGGCUAACUCUGUGCCAGCAGCCGCCGUAACAC
rnacentral:rRNA from 1 species